GGGAAUAUUCAAUUCAUUAUAAGCAUCAACGUUAUAAUCCAAUAGAUGUAAUUGAGUCUAUAUAUAUUCAAUCUGACUCGGAAAGAGAAUAUGUCUUAUCUACCUAACAAUACUCAUUAUAAACUACAAUACACAAGAAGCAAACUGCAUGACAAACUCCUUUGAUCUCCACGACCACCACUCUUCUUCUUUCGCCGACACCACUCUUCUAAUUUGGGAGCUUGUUUGGUUCAGCCUAAACCUACAAUUGUUACCAUAAAAGUUGCAUACUCAUAUGCGUGCAAAAUUUGGCUCUAUUUGAUCUCAUAUAGUUGUUUGAGGUUUAUUAAGAAACUUGACUUACAGAAACAAAAUCAGGCAACGUUCAAAGACAUCUAAGACUCUCUUGGGAACAAUUAAAAUCCCACGAAAUAUCGUCGUUUCUUGACAUACCUUCAUAUUGUCAUAUAGUACAAUUGACUUGACCAGCCAUUAGCUUCCCGCAAACUUUAUUUGGUAAAAUAAGUGAGGAGAACACCUGAGUUGAUCUCCAUUUAGCACAUGUCAGAAGAUGAGUGCAAUAAAUUAUUGGCAAAAUAAGCUUCUAAUAAUUGAUCCACAGAUUUACCAUUAUAUUAAUAGUAAAGGGCAAACAGCUUCUGAUCAUGGUACCUGAUCCACAGAUUUACCACCGUAUUAACCAAAAUCCUUCUUGUAACUUACCAUAUCCUAUGUAACCAAAGUAAUCAUGAAACUCUGCCAAUGAAUCUAAUGUCACUUGUAUUUAUUUCUAGUUAUAUGUAAGUGCUCUUCAUUUGCAACUUUCAUUUUAAAGCUUGAUGAUCCAUUCUUUGAUCCAUCUUCAGUAACAUAUACAUCCACCAAAAAUGUUGCACAAACAGGCCGGUGGUCAGAAAACUGAGAUUCCCGCCGUACAUAUGAAAGUUGUCGUAUCCCACUCCCAUGCCACAGUAUCCUAUCACACCAAGCUGGAGUUCUUCUUUUGUUUUUAGAUUCUGUGGUCUCCCCAGCAUAACUGUCUGAGUUGUAGGAGUAUUUAUAAGUAGGUGCAAAGUAGAUUUUCCCCUCUUUCCAAUCCUUGAAAACACGCCCAGCUUCUCUCUCAAUUUUAAGCUGAUCUUUGUCAAAUAGUGCAUUCCAGUCAUUACGCUCCAGAAGCUUUCGGGUUUCAGAGUAGCCCAAAGAUAUUCUGUAAUUCAAGUCCCCUAACCAAAUGACACGGUCAUGUUCAAUAAUUUUCUCAGGCACCCGACUAUAAGGUGAUCUGCAGAUCCUCUGAAAUUGUGUAUUUUUAAGUAUCUCUAUCACAUCCGAAUUUCUCCGGAGUUCAUCUCCCUCUUUCUCUCCUGAUGCCAAGUGACUGCACACAAAGCAGAAGCUUGUCUGAUGGAGAGACAUGCUAACAGAUAUACAUCCCUUGUUUCCAAGGCAGCCCAUGAUACCACGACCAGUGCAACAGAUCCGUAAGUGGCUAACAUAUUGAGCAAGCUCCUUUCUUACCCAAACAGUAACAAAAAUUCCAACCAUUUGUUUACCCACUACAAGGCUGUACUUCAGCUGGUUGACGGUAAUGGGAGUGGAAAUUUCUGAAGAUACAUAGUUGUCAAUUCCAUCAUCUUCAAUCUCUAUGGAAAAUUCAUCCUCGCUUAAAUUUGUCGGUUGGCACCACAAACAGAAAUCCUUGCUAUACUUCCUUUCCAAUACAUGACUGCAAUUGCAAGUCUUCAUCCUCCUUCCGCUCUCAGUCCUCAAGUUCUUACAGAUUCUUUUAAGAGAAGGCUUUUGGAACAGAAGUGAGCUGCCAAGGGGGGCCAAGGAUUUUGAUCCUCUCAAAGCCAUGCUACAUGAUCUAUUUAGUGAUUCAUCAAUUAAAGCUAGCCAUCUUGCAGCAGGUUCAUUGUCUUCUACAACAAGCACAUUUCCAGCAUUUAAUGGCACAAUUUCCUGAAAACCUAAAACGUAUAUAUCUGAUGGAUUCUGGAUCUGAAGAAACUCAUCCAAAUUGAGUCCAUUGUGAGGGGAUUUUCCUCCCACAUUCCAUGUGGCCACAAAAACUCUGAAUGACUGAGUUUUACCACUAGGCAUCGGAGUGCUUAAGCAGUUGGAAAAGAGAGACUGGAUUACAAAUUAGAAGGUUCUUCUGCAAGUAGUUAGAUACAGAAGAAUUCUAAUAAGAAACAGCAUUAAGAAAUAGAAAUAGUGAAAUUGGGUACACUUUCAGGCCUGAAAAAACAUGCUUUAAAUAAUGCAGCUGAUAUUGAAGAAACCCAAUCACUUGUUAAAUCUCACCACUUUUUUCUCUGAUAAUAAAUGCUUGCAGUAAGACAGAAGAAAUAGAAAGCUGAAAGGAAAUAUCGUAUAUUAGUGGGCAUCAGAUAGAAAAAGAGAAGAUAUAUACCAUUCUUGCUUCCAUUUUGGCAAUAGAUCAAAGAUUAAACAUGAAUAUAUUCUCAACUUUGGAGACAAUUGCAAUUAUGCUCUUACACUUAUUCUUUACUGUUCCAACUAUGACUUUGACCCAUCACAUUUGCAUGUUAGACCAAUUAUUAAAUUUUAACAUAGCAGAGAAGUGGGAAAAAAAAAACAAUAAUUGAACUGAAUGGGAAACAUUUAGAAAAUCACUUUCUAGAGAAAGAAAAUGGAAUUUAUCUUUGCAACAAAAGAAAAAUUUAUGGAUAUGUACUUCCAUUACAAAAAAAAAAGGGAGAUCCCUUUCACACCUAACAUAUAGAUAAGAAACAAUGAUGAUAUAUGAUACGCUUAAAGUGCAAUUUGUUAGCAAUUACCAUAUGAGUGAAGUGAAUCUUCUGUCAGUUUCGUCCCAUUAUGUUCCCUCAGGGAGAUUUUUUUUUUCUUUCCCAGAAAAGACUUCUUGAUUACUUUGUAUCAUGAAACUGAAUUAUUUUCUGCAAUCACAAAGGCCCAAAAUGAUAAACCAAGAGAAAAUAUAGCAAGUGCAUCGGAGUCCAAUAACAAAUUUCAAAAAUUAUUGAAAUAAGUCAAACAAGAAUAAGAAUCAAUUAACAUUUAAGCUUACCCAAUGAUAACCACAACAACUAAAAUUGAAUGAAAAUAUUCCAUUCACACAGAAGCAACAUUCAAACAAUACCAUUUGAAUCAAAAGAAUAAAUAAUAAAAUGGAAUGCAAUUAUCAAACUUAAAUAAUUAUGCUGCUAAAACUAACAGAUUAUAAGAAAAGUAAAUCAAAGCAUCAGUAUAAGAGGCAUGAUGAAAACAGGGGAGACAAAUGAAUCAUAAAUAAAUAAAAAAUAAUUGUGGCAACCCAUCAAAGAAGUAAAGAGCCCAGAUUGGCUUUUUCUUCAGAAAGUCAAAUUCCUAGCUAAAAUUCUAUCAUAUUGUCUGUGAACAUCACAAUCCAAUAAAAAACGUAGAAAAUUGAGGGGAAUAAAGAUAAGGAACCUUAAUAUUGGUGUACAACUGACAAGUCUGUCAGCUCUGAUAUAAGCCAGAAAGAAAAAUAUCUAAAGGUGUUUCCAAUUCUUGGAAUUCUCCGUUACAUUUUUUCGUUUUCUAAAAUUUGUUAGUUAUUGCUUUUCUUGACAAAAUGAGACCUAUGAAGCAAACAGUCCAAAAUCUAGAAUCCAAC
rnacentral:misc_RNA from 1 species